GGUCUUGUUGUCUUGUGGGUGGCAGAGGUGGAAAAGAAUCCAUGUAUAGGUGGACCCACAUAGUUCAAACCCAUGUUGUUCAAGGGUCAACUGUAUAUAUAAUAUGCUGCACACAUGCAUGCACACAUAUAUACACUUCCUUAGAAGUUCAUAGAGCAUCUCUGAAAGACUAUCAGAGGAACUGCUGACAGUAGUUAUAGGCUGGGCACAGUGGCUCACAGGUGUAAUCCCAGCACUUCGGGAGGCCGAAGUGGGUAGAUCACUUGAGCCCAGGAGUUCAAGACCAGCCUGGGCAACAUGGUGAAAUCCUGUCUCUACAAAAAUAUACAAAAAAUUAGCUGGGCAUAGUGGUGCACACCUGUACUCCCAACUAUGCAGGAGGCUGACCUGGGAGGAUUGCUUGAGUCCAGGAAGUUGAGGCUGCAGUGAGCCAUGAUCACACCACUGCACUCCAGCCUAGGCAACAGAGUGAAACUCGUCUCAAAAACCAAAACCAAAACAAAACAAAAAGCACAGUGGUCAUAUCUGAGGAGCACAGUGGUCAUAUCUGAGGAGAGGAACUGGGACUUGGAGUACAAGAAUAGGAAGUAAACUCUUCUCUGGGAGCUUUUGUGUUCUAUAUUAUAGUUUAUAUUUAUUUUUCCCAUGUGCAUUUUAAAACCAUUACGUUAAAAUACAAAAAGUGCGAGGACAGUAGUGUAUUAGAAGGCAUACUAUACUGGUGGUCAGUUGACCUGAGCUGUAGUUUGUUUUUGUUACAAAGUCCCGUGAUCUUUCCAGAACUCAGUGUCCUCUUCUGUGAAAUGUGGACACUGACCUAGCUGGUCUCAAAGGCCUCUUUCAAUUUUAACAUUCCCCCAUUCCAUUGACUAACACAGAGAUACUUUUAUUGCAGAAGUGCUUCGGUCAGGCAGUAUCUUUGAAAAUAAUUUGGCCAAUGAAAGCCCUGGCAUUGGAUGAAAGUGCUAGCUGCUGGGAAUGCUACCCCUCCUUUUGGUUCUCUUUCAAGUCCUUCAGGUUCAAACAAUACAGAAGUGUAUAAAGUAAGAAUUGAAAGUCUCUUCGCUGCUCUAAUCUCACUCCUCAGAGGUGAUCACUGAUUAUCAUCCCAGAGCCCUGAAGCCCACACACAGCUUCUUCAGGAAAUGCUGACAACAUGGUAUACACAUGGCUUCCAUGUUUGUCGUGGUUCCAAAGUUUGCUUUUGAGUUUAAUUUCUUUCUUUCUUUCUUUCUUUCCUUUAUCGGCUAAACUCCCCCCAUAGGACCUGAGUGAGCAGAAGGCUUUUCAGAACAGCCUGAACUAUUUCUUGAGCAGUUUGGGAACUCAUUUCUAAAGCAGUCCUCGGAUUCACACAACAUAGUUUGUGACGGAGUAUGCCCAGAGCAGGUUAAGAGAUUGCAGAUUGCUUCUGUGGACUUAUUGAAGGUGGACCUGGCUGUUGGUGGAGAUCCCUAGACUGCAUGGGGCCAUGGGCAUGAUCUGGAGACACAGUAGGUCAUCCUCAGAAUUUACACUCUCUCUCCUUUUGUGCCCCCAUGGACCAAGUUAAGAAGGUGUAGGCUUCAAAUCUGAAGAUUGGUCACCACAAAAUUCAAAGGGAAAACCUUUUAGGCCAAAGACCAUUGGAAGUGGCCCCGGUUCCUCCAUGUUUAACUCACUGGCCCCUAAUUUCUGCUGGACCUUCAUUUCAGUCGACUGUGUUUCAGGAGAUUCAGGCCACAACACCCCUGAGUUUACCGGUUUUGGUCUCUUCCUUGUGACCUUCGGCUCCAGGAUGCAGCACAGCUCCUCACUGCACUAUUUAUCAGAAUGUUGCUCUGCAUGCUUGAAAGUUUCCCCAAACAGAGGUACAUAAAAACAAACAGAGGCGAAACACAAAUCCCAUCAGCCCUGGAGGAAAAGGCCUUGAAGCUCUUCCAGUGCAGAGGCCACACAGAGGACAGGCUCCUACCUGUGCACAUCAGCCACGCCUGGGGCGCCUCCUGGAGUCCAGGCUGCUGGCAAUGGAAUUCAUCAUGUUGCUGAUGUCACUGUAAGUUAAGUCGCAGCUGCCAGCUGAGCUAUGGGAUAGUUUGAGGGAUGGCCAGAAGGUUUCUCCUGGAUGCCAUCUUCAGCAUACCUAGGAACCAGAGAAAAUGCAAUUCUUCACAUGCCCAUCUCACUCCUGCAGCCUGGGGUCCCUCUUCAGUUUAUUUUUUUCUUUUUUCUUUUUUUUUUAUCAUAAGCACAUAGUCAGGCUCUGGGACAUCAUGGAACCCAGAAGCAUGCUGAAAGGUGAAGCACAAGUCUAAAGUCCUGUUAGUUAUGAAAUCCAGCUCUCCUGGAUUAGGCAAGGGGAAAACCACAUCUUUAAGAUAUACUAGGGCAAGAAGUAAAGUAUAGAGAGCUGGCUCAAUGAAAUUUUGUGUAUAAUAGGAGCCGUCCUAUGACUAAUUGUCACCUGUCUCAGAGACCUCAUGAUUAUUUCUGAGCUUUAACCAAUGAAUAAAUGUGGGUUCUAUCUGGCUCUUCUAAUGUCUUUGGAAUGGUUCCUCAGGGAACCACAGCUAUCCGUAGAGAUAACAACCUGAAUACAAGCCCAUCGCCCGAUCAGAUGCUGCUCUUACUUGCAUGACUUGGUUCUAUUCUUGCCCAGUCCCACUGGGAUAGCAGCGGUAGCUAAACAGCUAAGCAGAGUGACCUCAUUAGAUUCUCCUCUAGUAUAAAGUCACAUGUUAACUCAUUUUUGGACUCAUAGUCAGAAACUUGUAAUUUUUCCUCAUUUUGGUAUGCAGCUAUUGCACAGUGGGGAAAAUAUGAGUCAAAAGACUUGCUCUUAUAUUCCAUCUUCCCCCUCAUUGCCUGGGUGUCUUUGAACCAGUUAAUCUUUGAGCCUCAGUUAUCUAGAAAAUGGGGACACUGCUACUUUAUAUUUUUUUUUUAGUGGGACCUAGAUAAGGUAAUAUAAAUAAAGGGGCUUUGUUUAUAUAUUGAAUGGCAUGAUGUUACGAUUACUAAAAGGAAAUAGCUAUUCUACUUACAUUACAAUGUGGUUUGAGGAUCAAAUUCAAUAAAAUAUGUGAAGAGGGCUUUGAAAAGUAGAAAGAGCUAAGCAAUGCAAAAUGCGUCGCUGCACUUGAAUGUAAUGGCUGGUGUCAUGUCAGCUGGAUUAACUGUGGUCACUAGUUCUCAUAUACCCAUUUGCUAGAGUAGCUGAGUCCUCUGGUCUACGAAAAAGGGCACAGAAGCUACAGAUACGAGAUCUGGUACUAUCUUUAUCACUACCUUUUUAUUGUGAGCACCUCAAUCAUUUUGAGAUAUUUGUCUCAUUUCUUUUACUUUGAAUAUGCGAAAACAACAGUCACCUCCUAAUAUGGCUGUUGGGAAAACACAACUGAAAUGGAUUCAGAAAAUAGCUUUUAAGGACAAAGUUAUGUGAAGGACAUAAAUUGUGCAUGAACUCCUUCAGUAAUGAAUAGGCACAUCUCCACAUACCCCAGGAUCUUAAGCUGAUAAUGUAACAAGAACCUAUUGAAUCAGGACAAGGUGAUGGUUCUGCUCCUGUGGCAAUCUAGGUCUCAGAAUCUGGUAUGCAGGCAGGGUGUAGAGAGCAGAUUGCAUUUUCAGGAGAAAGGUUAAGCUUGAAUGUUUUGGACAGGAGGUGGUUAGAUGCAUUUUUUAAAAGUCCUUGAAUUUACCUGAUGAUUUUUGUGUCCUUGUGAUGGUUGUAGCCCAUUCCAGGAUACGAAUAAAUUUAGCAACACAAAGAAGUUCAUUUAAAAAUCUUUCCCUCAGAUGCUCCACUUCCUCUUCCUUCUAGCUUUCUCCUCUUCUUCACUAAUUUGGCAACCUGUGAGGCUGCCCUUUUGAUCACUGGCAGUUUAGAAUAGUGAUAAGUGGUUUUGGAAAAUGUUAUUGAAACUUUUAUAGGAGAGUGGUGGAAAGAUGGAGAUUUCUAGAAAACCCUUAA